UACGUAGGGGGCUAGCGUUGUCCGGAAUCAUUGGGCGUAAAGCGCGCGUAGGCGGCCCGGUAAGUCCGCUGUAAAAGUCAAAGGCUCAACCUUUGAAUGUCAGUGGAUACUGCCGGGCUAGAGUCCGGAAGAGGCGAGUGGAACUCCUGGUGUAGUGGUGGAAUGCGCAGAUAUCAGGAAGAACACCGACGGCGAAGGCAGCUCGCUGGGACGGUACUGACGCUGAGGCGCGAAAGCGUGGGGAGCGAACAGG
rnacentral:rRNA from 1 species